rnacentral:rRNA from 1 species
UACGUAGGGUGCAAGCGUUGUCCGGAAUUAUUGGGCGUAAAGAGCUCGUAGGCGGCUUGUCACGUCUGCUGUGAAAACUCCGGGCUCAACCCGGAGACGCCACCCGAUACUGUCGUGACUGGAGUCCGGUAGGGGAGUGGGGAAUUCCUGGUGUAGCGGUGAAAUGCGCAGAUAUCGGGAGGAACACCGGUGGCGAAGGCGCCACUCUGGGCCGGUACUGACGCUGAGGAGCGAAAGCGUGGGUAGCAAACAGG